CGCUCGUCCAAGGGGAGUUCCGGCAAGGAACUGAGAGGCCGACGGCCGCCGAUCAUCGGCGAAGCGCGCGGCGACCCUACGAACCUGAUCCAGUUCAUACUGGCGUAGGGAUGGGAAAGCCGCCGACC
rnacentral:ncRNA from 2 species